AAACCAUCUACAUGGCUGCCUGAUUUUCUGCUUCUUUAGCACUAGGGUUUGCUGGGCUAUACAAAUGUUGCCUUGUUGUCAUUCCUAUAGCCAAUAUGUUUCUCCUGCUUGGUAAGGGAACAAGUCUUUUCCACUUACCUGCGAGAACAGCAUACUCAAGAUGGAAGUGAUUCGCUGUCAUCUCUCAUUUGGAAGAUCCUCCUCAUUGUGGAUGUCCUAACCCUUCUAUCCCCACGCAGAACAUCCAGGCCUGUGCAUACUGCUUUGUCAUGGAUACCCGUGCUUAUCCAUGAACUUCGUUCAAACAGAACCUAAACAAUCACAUACCUACACAGAGAAAAAUUCUCUUUUCAUCAAAAGAGCUGAAUCUUUUUAUCAAAAGAGCUCCUCUCGGUCUCUGCAGAAGCUUGUUUGCUCAAGCACAGUAAUACACAGCCAAAUGUCAACAUAGCUGCAGCAUUUGGGGGGAGGAGGAUCCUUUUUUCCCCAGAAGAGAAGUCUCCUGCAGUAGACUGAAUGCCUUGGUCUUGUGACCUUGUGGAAAUGAAGGACCCCCAGGAAAUUUCCAGGUUCAGUCCCGUUUCCCAACUGCUCCAGCAUUGGUGGUCAUGGCCAAAGGACCGACUGACUGCCUACCUGCUGGCUGCCAGCUCCUCUCCCUCUCCUAGGAGAAGUCAAAGCAUCAGAUUGGAAGUAAAUCAACACAAAAUAAAGUAUCAAGUAAGGAUUCAAGCUUCCUGCCCCCCUGUUCCACCUACGCUGUAGAUAUUUCCCAGCCCGUGCCCUAUGGGUUCCCAAUUUUUGAUGGAAAACACAGGCUGAUCUUGAAAUGUGACAGCGAUUCAGAGGGAGGAAGGAGAGACUGCCAGAUGGCUCUGCUUUGCACCUUCUUCAGUUUGCAGGAUAACGCUUCGUGAUUUACCAUAAAUUUAUCAUUUUCGCCCAUCUCUGUGCUGUGGAAUGAAGCUAAACUUUUGGCCUCUUGGCUCCAUCUUUCCACUGCAGCAUAAAACUGUGAAGCGAUUCCACUGGGGCAUGGUGGGCCACUAAUCUUCACGCAGGGAGACAGCGGGAUGUACUGUGCUUUCAGAUCUGUGUUUCAUCCUCCUCCUCUGUCCUUCUUCUGGCCUCUCUUCAGAACUUCCACAGAGAAAAUUUUAACCAUGUUCUUAUUCACUUUCCACACUGUAACUAAUAGGAGUGUGAUAAUGUCACAUUAUGUGAUUUUUUUUUU